GAAUUAAGAAUCAUAAACAUAAACAUUGGGCUAUGGGUAAGAUCCAAUUAGAAAGGGUGUGAAAUCAUGGCUCGAUUGGGCCAUGAAGCUUGUGGGCAAAAAAGCCCAAAAUCUUCAGAAUAUCCAAGAACAUGUUUGAUGCUUAUGAGCUUCAUCCAGGAAUUCUGAAUCAGGUCACAUAACGCCCCGCAAACGCCUUCGGCACUGUUUCACCCUCGUCUUCCCUACGCUACUCUCAAGAUCGGACUUCACACGGGUUUAUUUUCGUUUACUCUUCAUUCUUCCCUUUUUCUUCUUCUUUCUUUUUCGGCUAUUUGAUUUCUGGAUAUCUUCUGGUGAGAGGUUUGUUGAAUCUCUCUUGCAGGUUUCCGAUAAUUCAUGUUAUUGAGGUUGAGUGGAAGGAGCUCGAAGUCGUUGGGUUCAAGAAUUUUGUUCGAAUUGAGGGUGAAUGCAGGUUACAGAAGUUAUGUAGUUAGAAGGUUUUUCUUUGUUAUGGAGGUUUCGGUUCGGUUCAGUGGGAGGUGAGGGAGAGUGUGAGAGAGUUCAAUUGAAGAGUUGUUCAGAAGGUGAUUGUGGACGGCCAUUGAAGAAGGUUGGUGAAAGGUUGAGGGUGAGGUCAAGAGGGUGAAGAAGAUGUUCGUGUGAAUGGAAGGCAAUGGACGAGAGAGCGUGAAUUGAGAAGUGUGGAGCUGAAGGAUUUUGCUUCUUCUGCAGGAUGGUUAUGUGGUGAAGAUGAUGGUUCCAGAAGUUUUUGUUAUCUGGUUCUGAAUUGGAGUUUUUGUGGGUUCUCUUCUGUUACAACAGGGUAGUUAGAAGAGUUCAAAGUUUUUUGUUUUCGGUUGGAAAAAUCAGUUAUAUUGUUGAGGAAGAUUGGAAGUUCUAUUAUAUCUUGGGAGGGGUUUGUUUCCAUUUAGUUAGAAGGUUGGGAAUUUACCGGGAGUUAGUUAAGGAGGUUCAAGUUUCGGUUGAUAAGUUGGAGGUUGAAGCAGUUAGAAGUUGGAAGUUUCGGUUGGGAAUUCGGUUACUCUUUGUUACGAAAAUUCAGUUAGAAAGUUGGUUAGGUGGUUGCUGUACCAGUUGGAAAAAAAAUCUGUUGCGAGGUGGUGAGGGUAGAAGCAAAAUAUGUGGUGCGAGCUCUACUUCUGGUACUACCAUAACAACUCCGGCAAUUGAAAGUUCAUUACCACCGCAAGGCUUGGAAGAAGCAAUUCUGGUCGUUGUCGAAGCAUGGCUUUGUGGCUUGGAGAAAUUAACUUGAUUUUGUUGGGAUUUAUUGUGUAAUAGGAUAGUGUAAUUUCAUAGAUGAAAUGUUUGUGAUUCUGUAAUCCUUUUGGAUUUGGUUUAAUGAAAUGGUAUUUCACACUGUAGUGUGAGAUAAUGGUUGAAUGAAAAAUUGGGAUUUCUAAAGGGCUUUCAAAUGGGACUUGUAUAAAUAUUGUAAUAGAAAUGGCUUGAAUGUUAGAAUUGGCUUGAAGUAUAAUGGAUUAAAAUUUUAAGA